rnacentral:rRNA from 1 species
GAUGAACGCUGGCGGCGUGCCUAAUACAUGCAAGUCGAGCGAACGGACGAGAAGCUUGCUUCUCUGAUGUUAGCGGCGGACGGGUGAGUAACACGUGGAUAACCUACCUAUAAGACUGGGAUAACUUCGGGAAACCGGAUCUAAUACCGGAUAAUAUUUUGAACUGCAUGGUUCAAAAGUGAAAGACGGUCUUGCUGUCACUUAUAGAUGGAUCCGCGCUGCAUUAGCUAGUUGGUAAGGUAACGGCUUACCAAGGCAACGAUGCAUAGCCGACCUGAGAGGGUGAUCGGCCACACUGGAACUGAGACACGGUCCAGACUCCUACGGGAGGCAGCCGUAGGGAAUCUUCCGCAAUGGGCGAAAGCCUGACGGAGCAACGCCGCGUGAGCGAUGAAGGUCUUCGGAUCGUAAAACUCUGUUAUUAGGGAAGAACAUAUGUGUAAGUAACUGUGCACAUCUUGACGGUACCUAAUCAGAAAGCCACGGCUAACUACGUG